GCGGCGCUGCGGGGUGCGUGUUGGAUCUGUAUUCCCGGGGCCUUAUCGAUCUCAAAGGGAGCUGUCCCUGACCUUGUCCGUGGACUCGGUCACAUGGCGCCCACCUACGCUGUAGGUUCCCGGGAUCGAUGUCCCACGGCCAUCGUGGCCCGCA
rnacentral:other from 1 species